CAAAUGUGCAUCAUGAAAAAAGUCUGACACAGUUCUUAAGCAAAAAAUAAAAUGUAUAAACAUAUUUGUCAAUUUGUUUUAUUUUUCCAUGUAUGUUUUUUUUGUGUGCAUUUCUAGAGAGAACACUAGCCAAAGAACAACACAAGUUUAUUUUUGCUGUAAUCGUGAACAAAGCAUAACUAAUAUGGUACCAUGGUGUUUCAUUGUAUGUUAGUUAUACGUUGUGACACUGUGUUGUGAAACGCUUUCAUAAAAGGAAGGCAAACUGUUCUUCUGGGAUUUCAAACCAUGCACUGCUGAACAUCUAGUCAAAUGGCUACCCAGACUAUUCACAUCCCCCCCCCCUCCACACCACUGCCACUCUCUGUUGUCAUCUAUGCAUAAUCACUUUAAUAACUCUACCUACAUGUACAUACUACCUCAACUAACCGGUGCCCCUGCACAUUGACUCUGUACCGGCAUCCCCCUGUAUAUAUUGUUAUUUUUUUACUGUUCCUCUUUAAUUACUUGUUACUUUUAUCUCUUAUUCUUAUCUGUAUUUUUUUAAACAGGCACUGUCGGUUAGGGGCUCGUAAGUAAGCAUUUCACUGUAAGGUCUACUACACCUGUUGUAUUCGGCGCAUGUGACUAAUACAAUUUGAUUUGAUUUGCUGCUUAGUGUGUGAGUUAAAAUAUCAAAUGAUAAAUCAUAAAUAACACUAUUCAAUGGAGUAAGUCAAGGGGUAUGAAUACUUUCUGAAGGCACAGCUGGAGUCCUUAUCAAAUGGACUUAAGAUGUUAAGGUAACAGUUGCUGCUAGAAAAAACAAGCUUGCAGGUCUUGUGCAGUGAAAUACCUUGGUUCUCACUUUGAUUUCCUUCAAUCAGUGCAAUCAAAUCAACUAUCAAUUAAUGCCAGUUCAGAAUGCUUUGACUUUCAAAUGUCCUUUCUUUGGUUUUUAAUUAAGUUACUUUUGUUCUUCGGGGGGAAUAAACAAAUGCUAUUCAAACAUCAAUUUGUAAAACUUACAAAAAAUGGCCCUCAAUGUCUUGAAAUGGAGUAGGUACACUGGUGGUUAGUGCCAGCAGGGUGUGCACCAAAGCACAACUUUUUGGUUUUUGAAAACAGCAUAAAUAUUUGACGGUCUGUGCUAUCUCGCAUCCUUGGGAAUCCCAUUGAAGUUGACAUUUUAAAUGGUGUAGGUAAGAAUUAUGGUUAUAGUUAGGGUUUAGGGUAGGGACAUCCCAAGGAUCCCGGAGAGCACUGAAUUGUCAUGACAUUCUGUGACAUAGUACAUUCAUGUUUGGAUGAAAUUAUCAUUUCAUUUACUUUCCACUGUGAGGCUCAAUGUGAAUCAAUGCUCAAAUUCAAAGCCUGUAAAAUGUAAAUAGUUUUACACUCUCAGUAACACUUGUUACUUCUACUUUACUCCUUUAUAAAAACCAUGCUGAAAUUGUUCCUAUUCUUCCCCAGAUGACCAGGAGUCUCCAUCUUCAGAACCUUCAGAAGUAACAUUCACACCCUCUACCACAUCUUUACAAACCAGCUGCUUCACCUGUGAGGGCAUCUGUUUGUCCUCUUCUUCAAGGGUGGAAGCUUUAGGUGUGUCGCUGUCCAUCUUUGUGUUCCAAUUAGUUGCCUGUGGAUUCUCCAAAUCCACCCAGGAUAGGUUGUUAGCCAAGGCUAGGUUCUGAUUGGGUAGCUCGGUCACAUGGUCAUAUGGCUCAUCCGGUUGAUAGGGGGCUCCUGUCUCCAGAUUGGAACCCCAGAAGUUGUUGUGUACACCAGAGCUGAGGAAGCUGUGGAGGUCCCGGGCUUCGCUGUCAGUUUUGGAUGAUCUCUCAGAGUAUCUCUUGUGACCUGCAAAAGGAUCUCCAGAUUCCAGGUGUUUGUUUGGACUUUCUAAGACUUCCCAUUCAUCUGUCUGAAGACAUUCAUUACUUGCCUGAUAGCUAGUGACCUCUUCUGCAGAAUGUUCAAUAAGAGUAUUGCAAUCCUCAUAGUGAGAGACUGCCACAUCUAACAAGUCUUCCUGAUCUGCAGUUAGAUUUGCUUUGGUGACAGGUUGCAAAUACUGGCUUGCAUUUGGCGACUCAUCAUCUGUGCUGUUGGACUCUUCUAUAUCCAAGUUGUUCUUGUCGGUUUGACUCUCAGGCCUGCUGUUUAAACUGCUGUAGAUAGAAUGGCUUUCAGUGAAGUCUGCAUGAGUCGACAUAUAAAGGUUCUGGUCAUCCUGUCCUUCUAUUUUGUCUGGUACAGCUUCAGUUCCCAGUCCCCCACUGAAUACCUUACCUUGAGCCAAAUAUUCUUCUUGGGAUAUUUCUACUGAACCUUCUCUAAGAGAUGUGUGAUCAGAUGUCAUUAGAAUCCUAGAGUGCACCGAAUACAUAACCUCUGAGGAAAUACACUCUUGCUCAGACUGAUUCAGUUUCUCUGCACCUGGAGGUAUACACUCUUGCUCAGACUGAUUCAGUUUCUCUGCACCUGAAGGUAUACACUCUUGCUCAGACUGAUUCAGUUUCUCUGCACCUGAAGGUAUACACUCUUGCUCAGACUGAUUCAGUUUCUCUGCACCUGAAGGUAUAUACUCGGGAUCGGAUUGAUUCAUUUUCUCUCUGUCUGAGGGUAUGUGUUCUUGCUCACAUAUAUCCAGUUUCUCUCCGCCUGAAAUUAUGUACUCUGGCUCGAAUUGAUUCAGUUUCUGUCCACCUAAAGGUAUAUUUUCUUGCUCGAAUUGAUUCAGUUUUUCUCCACCUAAAGGUAUAUUUUCUUGCUCGGAUUGAUUCAUUUUCUCUCUGUCUGAGGGUAUAUGUUCUUGCUCACAUAUAUCCAGUGUCUCGCCGCCUGAAGUUAUAUCCUUUUUGUUCAGAUUGAUUCAGUUUCUCUCCGCCUGAAAUUAUAUACUCUGGCUCAGAUUGAUUCAGUUUCUCUCCUCCUGAAGGUAUCUUCUCUUGUUCAGAUUGAUUCCGUUUCUCUCCACCUAAAGGUAUAUUCUCUUGCUCGGAUUGAUUCCGUUUCUCUCCGCCUGAAGUUAUGUACUCUGGCUCGGAUUGAUUCCGUUUCUCUCCGCCUGAAGUUAUAUCCUCUUGUUCAGAUUGAUUCAGUUCCUCUCUGUCUGAGGGUAUGUGUUCUUGCACAUAUAGAUUCAGUUUCUCUCCGCCUGAAGUUAUGUACUCUGGCUCGGAUUGAUUCAGUUUCUCUCCACCUGAAGGUAUAUACUCUGACUCGGAUUGAUUCAUUUUCUCUCCGUCUGUUGGUAUGUGUUCUUGUGCAUUUACGUUCUGUUUCUCUCCGCCUGAAGUUAUGUACUCUGGCUCGGAUUGAUUCAGUUUUUCUCCACCUAAAGGUAUAUGUUCUUGUUCAGAUUGAUUCAUUUUCUCUCCGCCUGAAAUUAUAUACUCUGGCUCGAAUUGAUUCAGUUUCUGUCCACCUAAAGGUAUAUUCUCUUGUUCAGAUUGAUUCAGUUUCUCUCCGCCUGAAAUUAUAUACUCUGGCUCGAAUUGAUUCAGUUUCUGUCCACCUAAAGGUAUAUUUUCUUGCUCGAAUUGAUUCAGUUUUUCUCCACCUAAAGGUAUAUUUUCUUGCUCGGAUUGAUUCAUUUUCUCUCUGUCUGAGGGUAUAUGUUCUUGCUCACAUAUAUCCAGUGUCUCGCCGCCUGAAGUUAUAUCCUCUUGUUCAGAUUGAUUCAGUUUCUCUCCGCCUGAAAUUAUAUACUCUGGCUCAGAUUGAUUCAGUUUCUCUCCUCCUGAAGGUAUCUUCUCUUGUUCAGAUUGAUUCCGUUUCUCUCCACCUAAAGGUAUAUUCUCUUGCUCGGAUUGAUUCCGUUUCUCUCCGCCUGAAGUUAUGUACUCUGGCUCGGAUUGAUUCAGUUUCUCUCCGUCUGUUGGUAUGUUUUCUUGUGCAUUUACGUUCUGUUUCUCUCCGCCUGAAGGUAUAUGCUCUUGCUCAUAUUGAUUCAGUUUCUCUCCGCCUGAAGGUAUCUUCUCUUGUUCAGAUUGAUUCAUUUUCUCUCCAUCUGAGGGUAUGUUUUCUUGCACAUAUAGAUUCAGUUUCUCUCUGCCUGAGGGUAUAUACUCUUGUUCAGAUUGAUUCAGAUUCUCUCCAUCUGUGGGUAUGUGUUCUUGUGCAUUUAGAUUCAGUUUCUCUCCUCCUGAAGGUAUAUACUCUUGUUCAGAUUGAUUCAGUCUCUCUGAGUGUAUAUACUCUUGCUCAGGUUGAUUCAGUCUCUCUGAGUGUAUAUACUUUUGCUCAGUUUGAUUCAGUCUCUCUGAGUGUAUCUGCUCUACCUCCUCACUGUAUAAUAUGUCUUGUGUCUGGGAAAGUUCAGUGUGAGACUCAAUUUGAAGACUCAGUACUGACUCGCUCUCAAUCAUCUGCCCAGUAAAGUGUUCACUGUAACUGGAUAUAGAUAAAUUCUCUAGCUCUUGCUCCACCAAUCUAUCAAUUCUUUCUUCAUUAUAGUCCUCAUCAGAGCACACCAUGGAGUACUCUCCAGGUUCUGUAAGUUCCUCAUAGGAUUGCUCCUCUUCUGCCUCCUGAAUCAACUGAUCUACAGCAUUCUCCUCAUCGUUCUCCUGUGUAGCAUGCUCCUUUGUUUGGCUAGCAUCCACGUCGCCUUGGUGAGUGGAGCCCAUGUGACGUUCCUGAUCUAUGACAUCUCCUUCUGACUCUUCAUACAGAUCCUCCAUGGUGUCAAACUGUUUGGACUUGCCUUCGCCCCAGGUGUCUGUUCCUGUCUGGCAAACCUCCCUGUCCUCUUCACCAUCACUGGAGUCGCUCUCGCCCAUGUGUGAAGCCAGAGUGUUGACAUCCGUCUCGUCACUCUUGUAACGGAUCAAGGGGUGUGUGUCGGCUAGUGUGUUGUCCUGAGCAUAGCUGUCGCCUUCUAGCUCAGCCCUCCAUGAAACAGAAUUAUUUUGACAGUAGUUUGCCUCAUCAUGAUCCUCUUUGUCAUUGUCGGAUAUAUUCAGUUUAUCUCCGCCUGAAGUUAUGUACUCUGGCUCGGAUUGAUUCAGUUUCUCUCCACCUGAAGGUAUAUACUCUGACUCGGAUUGAUUCAUUUUCUCUCCGUCUGUUGUUAUGUGUUCUUGUGCAUUUACGUUCUGUUUCUCUCCGCCUGAAGUUAUGUACUCUGGCUCGGAUUGAUUCAGUUUCUCUCCGCCUGAAGGUAUAUGUUCUUGCUCAGAUUGAUUCAGUUUCUCUCCGUUUGAAUUGAUAUACCUUUGCUCAGACUGAUUCAGUUUCUCUCUGCCUGAAGGUAUUUGCUCUUGCUCGAAUAGAUUUUGUUUCUCUUCAUUUGAAGGUAUAUACUCUUGAUCAGACCGAUUGGGUUGGGCUUCUCUGUUAUUCCACAUCUCUUCCUCUUUCACAUGAUACUUUGCUUCUUUCCAAUCAUCCAUUCUUUCUCCAAUUCCAUUCUCUUCAUUGUACCCUGCCACUCGAUCCCAUUCAUCCUUUACAUCCCCAUUGGGGUUCAGUGCAUGUUGUUCCUCACGUUUGUUAGACAUAUCAUUUUCAUCAUCCACUUUUGUGAAAUUUAUGUCACCUUCCUCCACUCUUUCAACAUGGUGAAAUACCUCUUCUGACCAGUGAGAAGCUUGAGCAGAUUCAUAUGAGAUAAUCUCCUCUUGGUUGAACUUAUCGAUUCUUUCUGUCAUGUCAUUUUCCUUAAUGAAUCCUCCCAAUCUUUCACAAUCAUCGUUACCAUACCCAUAGGGGUGCAAUUCAUCUUCCAAUUGCUCCUCAUGUUUGUUAGACAUAUCAUUUUCAUCCUCUUUUGGGAGAUGAAUAACAUCUUCCUCCAGUCUUUUAACAUGGCGAAAUGCCUCUUCUGAACCGUGGGAGGCUUGAGUGGAUUCAUAUGACAUAUUGUCCUCUUGGUUGAACUCUAUUGGCUUGUUGUAACUUUUCCCCGCCCCAUACUCAAAAGCUUGACUGCUUGUGAAGGUUUCAAAUGCUUGCUCUAGCACUGAUGCAGUUUCAGAUUCCAAGCCUUCGUUUCUCGCCCAUUCAGCAUCUUUCUUUGCUGUUUCAAGCUCUCUUUCCUCCGAUGCAUUCAUGGGACCGUAAGGCAUAUCUAGUAGAGGUUCCUCUUUUUCAAAAUACAUUUCAAAAGGUACAUCAUUAUCAUCAUUCGCUGAGAAAGCAGAAUGUGCCCCUGUCACCGAACCUGCUCUCUCAUAGCUCACUGAAGGGCUGUAGAGCUCUUGAGCAUCAGUGCUGAACACAGUUGGCAUACUGAAGCUGGUCUCGACCCGGUGACUCAUGGCAGAUUCCAGAACGGGUUUCUCUUCAGCAAACCAGGUUCUGACUAUGUUCUGAUCCUCUUCCUCCUUUUCCAUAUCCCACAUGGAUUGUUCCUUGUGGUCAGAUCCAAGCAAAGAUACAACAUCAGCUCCUGCCUCUUCAGUGGGAGGUGAGAGAGGCUCAGCAUAGUUGACUUCUAUAUGGACAUCUUGGGGUCUGAAGUGGUGGACUGAAAUUCCGUCCUGUGGUACUUUGAGGUAAGGCGUUGAACAACUUACCUGGUGGUUGGACCCUACGCCAAAGUCGAUAUGCUCUUCUGUCUUUCGACAACUCUCAGGUGUUUCAUUCAGGGUUACCCGAUUUUGAGUCCAGAUUGGUGAUGCGGACAUCAUUGUCACAUUGGAUCGUGGACUUGCUCUAUGGAUGGUAGAGAUGGGCCUGAUCAUGUGACUGGUAGCCAGCUGUGUCUGGAAGCUUUGCUUAACCCCUCG
ensembl:lncRNA